AGAGUUUGAUCCUGGCUCAGGAUGAACGCUGGCGGCGUGCCUAACACAUGCAAGUCGAACGAAGCGCCUGAUCAGAUUUCUUCGGAAUGAAGAUUUAGCGACUGAGUGGCGGACGGGUGAGUAACGCGUGGGCAACCUGCCUCAUACAGGGGGAUAACAGCCGGAAACGGCUGCUAAUACCGCAUAAGCGCACAGGACCGCAUGGUCCGGUGUGAAAAACUCCGGUGGUAUGAGAUGGGCCCGCGUCUGAUUAGCCAGUUGGCGGGGCAGCGGCCCACCAAAGCGACGAUCAGUAGCCGACCUGAGAGGGUGACCGGCCACAUUGGGACUGAGACACGGCCCAAACUCCUACGGGAGGCAGCAGUGGGGAAUAUUGCACAAUGGGGGAAACCCUGAUGCAGCGACGCCGCGUGAGCGAAGAAGUAUUUCGGUAUGUAAAGCUCUAUCAGCAGGGAAGAAGAAAGUGACGGUACCUGACUAAGAAGCACCGGCUAAAUACGUGCCAGCAGCCGCGGUAAUACGUAUGGUGCAAGCGUUAUCCGGAUUUACUGGGUGUAAAGGGAGCGCAGGCGGUACGGCAAGUCUGAUGUGAAAGCCCGGGGCUCAACCCCGGUACUGCAUUGGAAACUGUCGGACUAGAGUGUCGGAGGGGUAAGCGGAAUUCCUAGUGUAGCGGUGAAAUGCGUAGAUAUUAGGAGGAACACCAGUGGCGAAGGCGGCUUACUGGACGACAACUGACGCUGAGGCUCGAAAGCGUGGGGAGCAAACAGGAUUAGAUACCCUGGUAGUCCACGCCGUAA
rnacentral:rRNA from 1 species